AGUGAACGCUGGCGGCGUGCCUAACACAUGCAAGUCGAACGAUGACGGAGAGCUUGCUCUCCUGAUUAGUGGCGCACGGGUGAGUAUACCAUAGAUAAUGUACACCUUAGUUCGGGAUAGCCAAUGGAAACGGUGAUUAAUAACGGAUACUCCUUCUCAUUAUAAGAUGAGUCGGGAAAGUUUUUUCGCUAAGGGAUCAGUCUAUGUCCUAUCAGCUAGUUGGUGAGGUAAUGGCUCACCAAGGCUAUGACGGGUAUCUGGUUUGAGAGGAUGAUCAGACACACUGGAACUGAGACACGGUCCAGACUCCUACGGGAGGCAGCAGUGAGGAAUAUUGCACAAUGGAGGAAACUCUGAUGCAGCAACGCCGCGUGGAGGAUGACGCAUUUCGGUGUGUAAACUCCUUUUAAGAGGGAAGAUUAUGACGGUACCUCUUGAAUAAGCACCGGCUAACUCCGUGCCAGCCGCCGCCGUAA
rnacentral:rRNA from 1 species